UUACUGGUAGUCUAGUGGCUAGCAUGUAGCGCUCUCACUGCCGUGGCCCGGGUUCGAUUCAGUCACUAAA